rnacentral:rRNA from 1 species
GACGAACGCUGGCGGCGUGCCUAACACAUGCAAGUCGAACGGAAACAGCUUAAAGCUUGCUUUGAACUGUUUUAGUGGCGGACGGGUGAGUAACGCGUGAGGAACCUGCCUUUCAGAGGGGGAUAACGUCUGGAAACGGACGCUAAUACCGCAUGAUAUUCCGAGAUCACAUGGUUUUGGAAUCAAAGGAGCAAUCCGCUGAGAGAUGGACUCGCGUCCGAUUAGCCAGUUGGCGGGGUAACGGCCCACCAAAGCGACGAUCGGUAGCCGGGCUGAGAGGCUGAACGGCCACAUUGGGACUGAGACACGGCCCAGACUCCUACGGGAGGCAGCAGUGGGGGAUAUUGCACAAUGGAGGAAACUCUGAUGCAGCAACGCCGCGUGAAGGAAGAAGGUCUUCGGAUUGUAAACU